GAUGAACGCUGACAGAAUGCUUAACACAUGCAAGUCUACUUGAAGCACUUUCGGGUGUGGAUGGUGGCGGACGGGUGAGUAACGCGUAAAUAACUUGCCCCCUAGUCUGGGACAACUGUUGGAAACGACAGCUAAUACUAGAUAUUAUGAGACCUUGGCAUCAAGGACUUAUGAAAGCUAUAUUCGCUAGGGGAGAGAUUUGCGUCCUAUUAGCUAGUUGGUGAGGUGAUGGCUCACCAAGGCGACGAUAGGUAGCCGGCCUGAGAGGGUGAACGGCCACAAGGAGACUGAGACACGGCCCUUACUCCUACGGGAGGCAGCAGUGGGGAAUAUUGGACAAUGGACCAAAAGUCUGAUCCAGCAAUUCUGUGUGCUUGAUGAAGGCCUUCGGGUUGUAAAGAGCUUUAAGUAGGGAAGAAGAAAGUGACGGUACCUACAGAAUAAGCGACGGCUAAAUACGUGCCAGCCGCCGCCGUAAGAC
rnacentral:rRNA from 1 species